rnacentral:rRNA from 1 species
GACGAACGCUGGCGGUGUGCUUAACACAUGCAAGUCGAACGGCAAGGCCCUGCGUUUGUGGUGUGCUCGAUUGGCGAUCGGGUGCGUAACACGUGAGUAACCUGCCCUUCACUUUCGGAUAACUUCAGGAAACUAGGGCUAAUCUCGUAUAGGAGCUCCCCCUGCAUUGUAGGGGUUGGAAAGUUUCGGCGGUUGGGGAUGGACUGGCGGCUUAUCGGUUUGUUGGUGGGGGAGUGGAUUACCAAGGCAUUGACGGAUAGCCGGCCUGAGAGGGUGAACGGCCACAAUGGGACUGAGAUACGGCGCAGUCGCGUACGGUGGGCAGUGGUGGGGAGUAUGGCACAACGAGAGGAAGCCUGAUGCAGCGACGCCGCGGGCGGGAUGACGGCCUGCGGGGUGUAAAACGCAUUAGCCUGUGACGAAGCGGGAGUGACGGUAAUGGAUAAAGAAGCACCGGCUAACUACGUG